UUAUUUACCAAGUUUAUUUCUUUUGGUAAUCUCUAAAAGCAGUUGCAAAUAAAUACAUUACAUAAUUCUUUGGGUACUUUUUGUAACACUAAACACAAUGUUUACAGAUUUGCAUUAAA